CUUCCAGUAGCACCUUAGAGACCAACUAAGUUUGCUAUUGGUAUGAGCUAAGUAUGCAUGCAAUAACACACUUAGUUGGUCUCUAAGGUGCUACUGGAAG